rnacentral:lncRNA from 1 species
UAUAUAUAUAUUUUAGUAAGUGGAGAUAACAAUCAUGUUAGAGUAAGUGGACAUCAAUACUUUAGCUUUCCUUAGCACAUUUUAGAAAUGAGAGCAUUCAAUCUCAAACAUACAGAUUGUAUGUCCUUGUUUUUUCCCCAAAUAUGCUGCUUGCAGUGUCGGGCAAAUAUGGGCUAUGCAGGUUGGUAAGGCUUUUCCCAGCUUUAUCAAAAGAGAUUUUUUUGUGCAGGCUGCUGCAUGUGAGUAUCAUCAUUCACGGCAUGUGCUCUGUAAUGUUGGU